rnacentral:snoRNA from 1 species
UCAUCAGGUGGGAUAAUUACUUGUUUCUCUUUUUGAAGGAUAGAUUAGAACAUGAUAACUGGAGUUUGCAUGAUACAUGAUUAACGUCUCUGUGUAAUAAAAAAAAAAUAGAUAUUGUUGUUGGGAU